rnacentral:rRNA from 1 species
GACGAACGCUGGCGGCGUGCUUAACACAUGCAAGUCGAACGGAAAGGCCUCUUUCGGGGGGUACUCGGGUGGCGAACGGGUGAGUAACACGAGAGUAACCGGACCUUGACUUUGGGAUAACUUCAGGAAACUGGGGCUAAUACCGGAUAGGAGCUCCUGCUGCAUUGUGGGGGUUGGAAAGUUGCGGCGGAUGGGGAUGGACCUGCGGCUUAGCAGCUUGUUGGUGUGGUAGUGGCUUACCAAGGCUUUGACGGGUAGCCGGCCCGAGAGGGUGAACGGCCACACUGGGCAUGAGACACGGCCCAGACUCCUACGGGAGGCAGCAGUGGGGAAUAUUGCACUAUGGGUGCCAGCCUGAUUCAGCAACGCCGGUUGCGUGAAGACGACCCUUGGGUUGUAAACCGAUUUCGCUCAUGACGAAGCUUUGUGUGACGGUAGUGGGUAAAGAAGCACCGGCUAACUACGUG